rnacentral:lncRNA from 1 species
GCAUGAGCCACCAUGCCUGGCCUCAGGUAAAAGCCUGGGUUAUCUGGAUCAAGCUAUGCAUGUUCUUACGGAUGCUCCAGCAUGUGACCUUGAACAGGUAUCUACGCGACCUUCAGCCAGUCACUUAACUUCCUGAGUCUCAGCUGCCUCAUGUAAAAUGAAGAUAAUAGUACCUACUUCUUAAGGCCAUUAUGAGGAAGAAAUGAGAUAAUCCAGAUGGGGAUACUGAGACUCAAGAAGUUUACCCAAGAUCACCUAUAUAGUACGUGGAAGAGUACGAAUUCAAACUCAGAAAGACUCCUCCAGAAGCUACAUCUUUAAUUGCUGGGCAAUACUGCCUUAAAAUGGACUGAGGUGUUUUUGAUCAAUCAGGGUGUUUGAUACAUCUUAAUAAGGUAGCAUAAGACUGUGUUCAAUAACAAAUGCUUCUUUUGAUCGGGGGAAUAAAU